AUAAAGAGAAACAUCUGGCCAUCUGCCACCCCACUGAUCUUCAGAGUGGACUGGCUGAUCUGGCUGACUAGGUGGGUGAGGGCUUCCUGCCUCACCACUGCAUGUGUAUCCCUCCUGGAGCCACAGCCUGGGAGAAGACAACCUGUGGGGGACAGUUUCCUGCCAGAACCUCCAACAGACUCUUAAGAGGCACAAGAGUUGAAAAUGCAUGCAAUGUAUCUUACCCUCUGACGUCAUCAACUUAAAAGCUCAUUAACCUAGCUCACUUGAGACCUCUUUUAAAAU
rnacentral:snRNA from 1 species